GAUUAGUAUUCCCUUGAAAUUCCUUAUAGACUAUGAGGUUGAUAGGCUGGAUGUGUAAGCACAGCAAUGUGUUGAGCUGACCAGUACUAAUAAAUUGAAAGGUUUAAAAG
rnacentral:rRNA from 1 species